GUGACUCGUGACACGCGCGCCGCAGCCUUCUAAGCGUGCAGCGCGGCGCGGCGUGACAAUCAUCAUGUGGGUACCCAUCUAAUAUCAAAGUACGCACGACCGUGACAAAUCCCAGAUUACCUUUCGGGGAUAACAAUACGGGCGGCGGUAUGUAGAAGACAGAACCGUGGUGUUAAUUUCCUGUUGCGGAGCCAAACAAGCCAACAGGGAGAAACAAAGGCUCAUAGGGGAUCUUCGCUACGCCUGUCUGCUUUUAUCCCUCGAUUCGCGUCUUCCAUCGUCAAAGAUGAAAUGGCAAAACGGAAAAGACCGUAGCAUUUUCGUUCUGAUAAAGAAGAAGUUAUACAAGAAUUUGUGCAAGAAUAAUUGUGCCCGUUAUCACAUGCACUAUGUUUUAAUAUAAGAAGUUAUUCUUACAAAGUAGGCAAAGAAGCUUGUUCUCCAUUAAGAUAAACCGAUCUUACAGAGUUUCUACUUCGGUGAAUUUUCAAAUGCCUCUAUCCUAGAAUUAAGGGAAUAGAGCGCUUGGAUUUUGUAGUUAAAGCGCGGUUACGAGACGUACGAAGCAGUCCACCAAGGUAGACAUUAAACAAACAUCCUCGCCGGUGCUGCGGAUACGCGAGGUGAAGCGGCAAUAAGACACGUCGAGUAAACUACGUGUCUGCGUGUAACAACGAGCCCAGCUAGCUACCCGGUGCGGCACGAAACGAAUGCAAUUGCGAGCAUCGGCAAGGAUAUAAGCGUGAUGACCAUGUUCGCUCCGUGCAGCCCCGUCUAGAGUUCCUAUUAUCGCUCACGUCGCCGCGGUAUGGCCGAUAUAAAUCGGAACGGGUGGAACGUAUAGCACACCAUCUCCCUUUGCCGCCACGCUCUUCACGCUUUAAUGCCUGGGAAAGUGUUGCGAACGAACGCGGACCGAAAAGUGGAACAGAUUCGUACGAUGCCGGCAAUGAAAGCAGGGAAAUAUGAAAGGGGAUUUAUACUGAGACACAGACUAUUUCACGGAAACGAUUCAAAGUGGAUAGUCGUGGGACAUUACGGAGAUCUAGGACAAUCUCCUGGCACUAUACUCUUACAAUGUAGAGCAAGAUAACGGAGACGCGCCGUCAUUGUAUUCCUUUCAAAGGAACCUUUCAUGGUAUUCACACGCCUGCUUGUUGAAUACAUAAUUUUAAGUUUUAUUUAUUGAAAAUUUAAAUGCGAUGUAAACAUGCAAUAAAUAAUCAGAUAAUCAUACACGAAAACAUUAA